rnacentral:rRNA from 1 species
AGAUGAGGAGCUUGCUCUUCAAAUCGAGUGGCGAACGGGUGAGUAACGCGUGAGGAACCUGCCUCAAAGAGGGGGACAACAGUUGGAAACGACUGCUAAUACCGCAUAAGCCCACGGCUCGGCAUCGAGCAGAGGGAAAAGGAGCAAUCCGCUUUGAGAUGGCCUCGCGUCCGAUUAGCUAGUUGGCGAGGUAAUGGCCCACCAAGGCGACGAUCGGUAGCCGGACUGAGAGGUUGAACGGCCACAUUGGGACUGAGACACGGCCCAGACUCCUACGGGAGGCAGCAGUGGGGAAUAUUGCACAAUGGGGGAAACCCUGAUGCAGCGACGCCGCGUGGAGGAAGAAGGUCUUCGGAUUGUAAACUCCUGUUGUUGAGGAAGAUAAUGACGGUACUCAACAAGGAAGUGACGGCUAACUACGUGCCAGCAGCCGCGGUAAAACGUAGGUCACAAGCGUUGUCCGGAAUUACUGGGUGUAAAGGGAGCGCAGGCGGGAGAACAAGUUGGAAGUGAAAUCCAUGGGCUCAACCCAUGAACUGCUUUC